UUUCGGGCUUUAUUUGCGCAGGAUAGGUGGGAGGCUUUGAGAGUGUUUUUGAGGGAACAUUUGAGCCAUUGGUGAGAUACCACUCUUAUAAAGCUAGAAUUCUAACCUUAUACCGUUAGCCGGCUAAGGAACAGUCUCUGGUGGGCAGUUUGACUGGGGCGGUCGCCUCCUAAAAGGUAACGGAGGCGCACAAAGGUUUCCUCAGAUCGGUCAGAAAUCGAUCGUAGAGCGUAAAGGCAUAAGGAAGCUUGACUGCGAGACCUACAAGUCGAGCAGAGACGGAAGUCGGUCUUAGUGAUCUGACGGUUCCGAGUGGAAGGGCCGUCACUCAACGGAUAAAAGCUACUCUAGGGAUAACA
rnacentral:rRNA from 1 species